CCUACGGGAGGCAGCAGUGAGGAAUAUUGGUCAAUGGACGAGAGUCUGAACCAGCCAAGUAGCGUGAAGGAUGACUGCCCUAUGGGUUGUAAACUUCUUUUAUAUGGGAAUAAAAUGUUCCACGUGUGGGAUUUUGUAUGUACCAUAUGAAUAAGGAUCGGCUAACUCCGUGCCAGCAGCCGCGGUAAUACGGAGGAUCCGAGCGUUAUCCGGAUUUAUUGGGUUUAAAGGGAGCGUAGGUGGAUUGUUAAGUCAGUUGUGAAAGUUUGCGGCUCAACCGGAAAAUUGCAGUUGAAACUGGCAGUCUUGAGUACAGUAGAGGUGGGCGGAAUUCGUGGUGUAGCGGUGAAAUGCUUAGAUAUCACGAAGAACUCCGAUUGCGAAGGCAGUUCACUGGACUGCAACUGACACUGAGGCUCGAGAGUGUGGGUAUCAAACAGGAUUAGAUACCCCGGUAGUC
rnacentral:rRNA from 1 species